UCGGGAAUGAUUAAAGUGGCAAACGGGUGAGUAAUAUAUAGGAAUCUACCUUGUAGUGAGGAAUAAGCGUGGGAAACUGCGUCUAAUACCACAUAAUACCGAAUCGGGAAAGGAGCAAUCCGCUAUAAGAUGAGCCUAUAUCAGAUUAGCUUGUUGGUAGGGUAAAGGCCUACCAAGGCGAUGAUCUGUAGCUGGUCUAAGAGGGUGAUCAGCCACACUGGGACUGAGACACGGCCCAGACUCC
rnacentral:rRNA from 1 species